AUGGCGGCGACAAAGACGGCGGCCAGAUCUGGACUGCUCCCUGCUACGAGGAAGGAAGUGCCGCCGCUCCGUCUCCGGGUGGUGGCUGCUUUCAGUCCAGAGGAAGAAGGAAGGGUCGCUGCGGUUGCUCCCGGCGUCUUAGUUGAAAAGGCAAAUAACCUACCCCCUCUCCAAAUUUUCUUCUUCGAAUGCGGUGUUGGGGCGGUGCCGAUCAAUGAGGAGCUACAUUGUGAGACAAGCAGCACACAUAUGUCCUGCAAGUGGCCGGACCUAGGCGUAUCGGUCGACAAUGGUACUUCACUAGAGAGGAGCGAUCUGCAAGAGUUGGCUGCUAUGUAUAUAUAUGUUACGGGCCAGCGCACAGAUUUUUUGCCGUCGAGAUCAACUUCCUACACACAAGUGAAUUACUUCUGGAGUUCAAUUGUUACUACAUUGAAGAGAAAUACGAUAGCAUCUAAUAAUCCACUAAGUGCGGUCAAGGGUGGAACUGCUGAUCUUUUUAAGAAAAAGGGCAAAUUUGAAUACUCUCUCAUCACCUUUUGGGCAACACGUGAGGGAUCAAAUUCUGCUGCCACAGAUCCAGUACUGUUCUUCGCUGAAUGCAGCAAUGAUGAUGAAGAUGACAAGGAAACACCUCCCCUGUGCGUCCCAGUAUUUAGUUCUUGGAUAUCUGAUGGUAUGCUCUCAGCUCUCUUUCACACAGUUUCCAUGUGGGCACUUCAUCACAAAGCUAUACAGAACAACAACAAUUUACAUGUUGGGCGUUCAGUUCUAUUUCCUGGUGCUGCUGGUGGCGGCAGUAGCGGUCGUUCGUCCUGCAGCACCUGUUAG
rnacentral:rRNA from 1 species